UCGUUUAGAUUGAAGGAGCUUGCUCCUGAUUGAUAAACAUUUGAGUGAGUGGCGGACGGGUGAGUAACACGUGGGUAACCUGCCCUAAAGUGGGGGAUAACAUUUGGAAACAGAUGCUAUACCGCAUAAAACCUAACACCGCAUGGUGUAGGGUUGAAAGAUGGUUUCGGCUAUCACUUUAGGAUGGACCCGCGGUGCAUUAGUUAGUUGGUGAGGUAAAGGCUCACCAAGACCGUGAUGCAUAGCCGACCUGAGAGGGUAAUCGGCCACACUGGGACUGAGACACGGCCCAGACUCCUACGGGAGGCAGCAGUAGGGAAUCUUCCACAAUGGACGAAAGUCUGAUGGAGCAACGCCGCGUGAGUGAAGAAGGUUUUCGGAUCGUAAAACUCUGUUGUUGGAGAAGAAUGUAUCUGAUAGUAACUGAUCAGGUAGUGACGGUAUCCAACCAGAAAGCCACGGCUAACUACGUGCCAGCAGCCGCGGUAAUACGUAGGUGGCAAGCGUUGUCCGGAUUUAUUGGGCGUAAAGCGAGCGCAGGCGGUUUCUUAAGUCUGAUGUGAAAGCCUUCGGCUCAACCGAAGAAGUGCAUCGGAAACUGGGAAACUUGAGUGCAGAAGAGGACAGUGGAACUCCAAUGUGUAGCGGUGAAAUGCGUAGAUAUAUGGAAGAACACCAGUGGCGAAGGCGG
rnacentral:rRNA from 1 species